UACAGAGGCCUCGAGCGUUAGGCGGAAUCACUGGGCUUAAAGCGUGUGUAGGUGGAUGCCUAAGUACCUUGUGAAAUCCCACGGCUUAACCGUGGAACUGCUGGGUAUACUGGGUGUCUUGAGCCACUCAGGGGCUACCGGAACAAGCGGUGGAGCGGUGAAAUGCGUAGAUAUCAGGAGGAACACCAAUGGCGAAGGCAGCUCGCUGGGACGGUACUGACGCUGAGGCGCGAAAGCGUGGGGAGCAAACAGG
rnacentral:rRNA from 1 species